rnacentral:rRNA from 1 species
UAAUACGUAGGGGGCUAGCGUUGUCCGGAUUUAUUGGGCGUAAAGCGCGUGUAGGCGGCUUGAUAGGUCUGCUGUGAAAACUCGGGGCUCAACCCCGAGACGUCGGUGGAAACCAUCUGGCUAGAGUCCGGAAGAGGAGAGUGGAAUUCCCGGUGUAGCGGUGAAAUGCGCAGAUAUCGGGAAGAACACCCGUGGCGAAGGCGGCUCUCUGGGACGGUACUGACGCUGAGACGCGAAAGCGUGGGGAGCGAACAGGAUUAGAUACCCUGGUAGUCCACGCCGUAAACGAUGGGUGCUAGGUGUGGGCGGUGUCGACUCCGUCCGUGCCGAAGCUAACGCAUUAAGCACCCCGCCUGGGGAGUACGGCCGCAAGGCUA